GUCUCUCCAUAAUGUAGCAGGUGAGGUAUCACCUGGAGUUCUUCGUCUCAUGACCAAGAAAAUUAAGGAGCGUGGAUGCAAAGGAUGAAGUUGCAGCGAAAGUUUAAUAAGCAAAAGAAGAAAGCUCUCCACAGUGGAGAGGGGACCUGGAGGAGGGUUGCUGCUUUUACAGGGGGUGACCUUUAUCUUCAUGGCCCAGUGUGACUGCAAGAGCUCUAGCAUCCAAGUUCCCAGCAGAAGGAUGGAGGACUGGCUGGAAAAACAAGGAGACACAGGGUAUGCAUCAGAGUCCCCUCUUGUUGCCCAGGCUGGAGUGCAGCAGCAUGAUUACAGCUCACAUCAGCCUCGACCUCCCGGGCUCAAGCUAUCCUCCUACCUCAGCCUCCCAAGUAGCUGGGACUAUAGGAUCUUUCUGCUGAUGCAGCUGUUAAGAGUGUUUCAUAAACUGUGACAACACUAAGCAAAAUCAUAGAAGGAAACUCUAUGGACAAUUUCAGAUGGAGAAGAAGAAAGGACUGGAAGUUCAAUUUGGCCAUGACAAUUAGACUUGAAGAAGCUGAGUGAGAAGGCCAUGCAGAUAUCUUGGAGAAGUGCAUUCCAGGCAGAGGAAAAGCCAGUGCAGAGACACUGAAGCAGGGCAUGACUGAUGUGUAUAAGGAGCAUCAUAUACAUGAUCAUCUACAGUCCACUGAGGAGAAUAGCAGACGAG
rnacentral:lncRNA from 1 species